UGGGGAAUAUUGCACAAUGGGCGCAAGCCUGAUGCAGCCAUGCCGCGUGUAUGAAGAAGGCCUUCGGGUUGUAAAGUACUUUCAGCGGGGAGGAAGGGAGUAAAGUUAAUACCUUUGCUCAUUGACGUUACCCGCAGAAGAAGCACCGGCUAACUCCGUGCCAGCAGCCGCGGUAAUACGGAGGGUGCAAGCGUUAAUCGGAAUUACUGGGCGUAAAGCGCACGCAGGCGGUUGAUUGAGUCAGAUGUGAAAUCCCCGGGCUUAACCCGGGAAUUGCAUCUGAUACUGGACAGCUAGAGUCUUGUAGAGGGGGGUAGAAUUCCAUGUGUAGCGGUGAAAUGCGUAGAGAUGUGGAGGAAUACCGGUGGCGAAGGCGGCCCCCUGGACAAAGACUGACGCUCAGGUGCGAAAGCGUGGGGAGCAAACAGG
rnacentral:rRNA from 1 species